rnacentral:rRNA from 1 species
AAACGAUGUCCACUAGAUCGUAGUGCCUCUGACGGUGUUAUGGUCGAAGCAAAAGUGCUAAGUGGACCGCCUGGGAAGUACGGUCGCAAGGCUAAAACUCAAAGGAAUUGACGGGGGCUCACACAAGCGGUGGAGCAUGUGGUUCAAUUCGAAGCAACGCGCAGAACCUUACCUGGGUUUGACAUGCCAGGAUUAUCCCUAUGAAAGUAGGGUAGGCCCUUCGGGGUACAACUGGUACAGGUGCUGCAUGGCUGUCGUCAGCUCGUGUCGUGAGAUGUCGGGUUAAGUCCCUUAACGAGCGAAACCUUUACCCUUAGUUACCAGCGGGUUAUGCCGGGGACUCUAAGGGGACUGCCGGUGUCAAACCGGAGGAAGGUGGAGAUGACGUCAAGUCCUCAUGGCCUUUAUACCCAGGGCCACACACGUGCUACAAUGGCGAUCAUAGAGCGACCCUAAACCGCGAGGUCAUGGAAAUCGCAAAAAUAUCGCCCCAGUUCAGAUCGGAGGCUGCAACUCGCCUCCGUGAAGUUGGAAUCGCUAGUAAUCGCGGAUCAGCCACGCCGCGGUGAAUGUGUUCCUGAGCCUUGUACUCACCGCCCGUC